rnacentral:rRNA from 1 species
UGCAGUCGAGCGGUACAGCAUCUAGCUUGCUAGAUGCUGACGAGCGGCGGACGGGUGAGUAACGCGUAGGAAUCUACCCAGUAGCGGGGGAUAAGCCAGAGAAAUUUGGUCUAAUACCGCAUACGCCCUUCGGGGGAAAGCAGGGGCUCUUCGGACCUUGCACUAUUGGAUGAGCCUGCGUGAGAUUAGCUAGUUGGUGAGGUAAUGGCUCACCAAGGCGACGAUCUCUAGCUGGUCUGAGAGGAUGAUCAGCCACACUGGGACUGAGACACGGCCCAGACUCCUACGGGAGGCAGCAGUGGGGAAUAUUGCACAAUGGGCGAAAGCCUGAUGCAGCCAUGCCGCGUGUGUGAAGAAGGCCUUAGGGUUGUAAAGCACUUUCAGUCGUGAGGAAAGGUGUGUGCUUAAUACGUACAUACUGUGACGUUAGCGACAGAAGAAGGACCGGCUAACUCCGUGCCAGCAGCCGCGGUAAUACGGAGGGUCCGAGCGUUAAUCGGAAUUACUGGGCGUAAAGCGCGCGUAGGUGGAUUGGUCAGUCAGAUGUGAAAGCCCAGGGCUCAACCUUGGAACUGCAUCUGAUACUGCUAGUCUAGAAUACAGU